rnacentral:sRNA from 1 species
AAGGACACACUGUGGCUGACCCCUCUUCAUCGUGCUGCUGCCUCCCGAAACGAGAAGGUGCUGGGGCUGCUGCUGGCACAUUCAGCAGAUGUGAAUGCCCGGGACAAGCUGUGGCAGACACCACUGCAUGUGGCUGCUGCCAACCGGGCCACCAAGUGUGCUGAGGCUCUGGCACCCCUGUUGAGCAGCCUCAACGUGGCUGACAGGAGCGGGCGCAGUGCUCUGCACCAUGCAGUGCAUAGUGGGCAUCUUGAGACGGUGAACCUGCUCCUCAACAAGGGAGCCAGCCUGAAUGUCUGUGACAAAAAGGAGCGGCAGCCUCUGCAUUGGGCAGCUUUUCUAGAUCGAUGAGCCCAACGCUUUUGGAAACACAGCUUUGCACAUCGCCUGCUA